rnacentral:misc_RNA from 1 species
UAUUAAUGAUGUUCCUGAAGUCACAUGAAUUGAGUUGGACAGUGGACUUACUGAUCAUGCAAACAAUAGAGGCAUGAAUCGUUCAGGCAGAGGGGAAGCUAUUCCCCUCUUAGAGACGAGUGAAAUGAGGGAGGAAAGGGAAAUUGAGGAAGGUACACCCGCUGAGGACAAAAUCAUAUUUGCUGAAAGUAAAAAACGGGGAACAUCACUGAUCUUCAACGAUGCAAUUUUACUAGUUUUAGAGUACAUUCAAAUCUACGCAUUGUUACAUGCCAUGUCUUUGAGAUGGCCCUGGCCAGAGGGAUGGAUAAAAUCAAUGAAUUUUAUUUUCUUCGUCAAUGUGGACAUAUGGGAGUUCAUGAAAGUACAUACAAAUGGAACUUAUAAGAAUGUACAAAGUCAUUAUACUGAAAGUGAUACUGUUCCUGUGAACUAUUGGUUUAUUCUUUUAGCUUGGGGGAUUGUCAUGUUCCUUCUCAUUGGCAUUUUUGUCAUAAUCUAUAUCAUCUUGCUGUGCAAGAGAAACCCUAUGCUUCUCAUCCACAUAUCCCGCAUGCAGCGAGUCUAUGUCAUAAUCUUCCAAGUCCUAGCGUUGCCAUUUUGUAUUGCAUGUGCGAGAGUAUUCCACUGUAAUGGAGAUGGUUUCGUAGAUGUUGACAACUCACUUCAAUGUUUUGGAAGCACGCAUUGGGCUUAUAUCAGUCCCGCACUUGCAGCAUUUCUGGUAUACUUGAUCGCAUUUCCAUAUUGGCUAAUCAAGAAAACAAAUGCUGAAGUUCUAAUGGAUAACAGCGAUUCCCAUGAAGGAUAUCUCCAACUGAAAGAGACUGAAUAUGUUCAAGGACUGGAUAACACUUACGAAAUCAAUAAUUUCCAUAUAUUUUCUUCGUUUAAACGUAAAGGAGUACAUAUGCGAGCUGCAGUGCAUGUACUGAAGCUAGUCCAAGUUGUUUGGUAUGCAGCCCUUUUUCAACAUAUCCUUGCCAUGGCUGCACUGGUGAAUGUCUUUCUAAUAGCCAUGCUACUGACUUUCAUCAUUAUGCGUCCGUUUAGGGUUGGCUGCUUCAACAUCAUCCUUGGUAUCACAUAUCUUUGUCUGAUGGCAAACAGUCUCCUGGGAACCAUGUUGACAUCAUUUGAUGCAUUCAGUGUCAGGUCUCCUUGGUUGACACCCACCUAUAUGACAUACAUGCUGAUUGCCAUUAACGUUGUUUGGUUGAUCUCUGUCAUCGUGUUUAUCAUCUACCUGGUUGUACGCCACUUUGGGGGCUGCAGGAAGUAUCUUCAACCAUUAUGGCCCUCCAUCACAACACACGGGCUGAACAAACUCACACCAGAGACUAGGAAGUUCAUGAGAGCCAUCUUGAAAGCCAAGCAAAUAAUGGAGAGGGCAGUAUUGGCUCCACCACUGUUUGCUCCUGCCCAUGAGUUAGCACGUCAGAUCCAAGUGAUCAAUGCAUACACAAGAGAGGCUGAGAUGUUAGAUGAUCAAGUUCAUACCACACUACUUGACACCCUUGAUGAACUCAUAGAGAUUCACUCCCAAGUCUCUCCAAGAUCACUCUUUGCUGAGAGUGUUAAAGAUUCGAUAAGGGACACGGCUGAAGCUCUUAUGGAGAUCAUGCCUAUGUUUGUGAGACGUUUGGCACAGAGGGAGUAUGACUUCAUCUUAGUGAAUCCUGUGAAAAGAAGAUUGCUCCUAAAGAUGUAUUGUCUAGGUUUGUUCCUUAAUGGUCGCUCAGAGAGAAUCAAGAAGCAGAAGUUGAUGAACACAGGAACUGCCCAGUUAUGGCACGAGAAAGAAGAGGACGAAAGUCCAGAUGAUGGCUACUUUGAUGAUCUAUACCCUGGUCAUUUUAAUAAUAGAAACCAGACCUAUUCACCAUCCCUGAACCUCACCGAGAUGGACAUGACUGAAAUGGAUGGCCCUAGGCUGACUGAUAGCCAGGCUGUUGAUAUGUGGGACCAACCAGGCACAUCACAAGAUGUUGCAGAAUUCUUAGCUGUAGAUAUGGACUCCAAUCAGGCAGGUUCGAGUCUGUAUAAUGAUACAGAUUCAUUAGCACUGUCUGAAAUGAUGCAUGGAGUGCCGUCCCUAUCACACCAUAGUCACAGCACACCCAGUUCUGUCUCACAUCAAAGUUCCCAGCGCUCUGUAAGGCCAGGCUCCAGUGUAUCCCGCCAUAACCCUCGUCCUGCAUCUGCCAUGUCACUGACCCCCAUUAGACCAGGCUCCCCUGCUAGACCAGGCUCUGGUGUCUCUAGGACCCUCAACAUGGCACAUGUUCCUCAUAAACAGAUUGAAGAGGCCAAUGUGAAUGAAGAAAAGAAACCUGUUAACAAAGAUCCUGCAGUUGUGGAGGAGGUCUCUCCUAGCAAUAAAUCAAAUGCUGAACCAGAUAAGAAAAGCAACAAACUGGAAGAAGUAAAAGAUGAGGUUGCUGACAAGCCCAAAGUAUCAGUAGAUGAACCCAAGGUUGAAGAAACAAAAACUGAAAGUGAAGAGACUGAAGCAACACAGAAGAAACACAAGAAAAAGAAGAAGAAAAAUUCCAGAGAAAAGGAGGAAAAUGUUGAUGGAAAUGAUAAUGAUAACCAAGAUAACAUAGAUGGAGAAACCCAAGAUGACGUCAAAGAGCGAAAGCAUAAAAAGAAGAAGAAAAAGUCGAAGGAUAAUGGUAAUGAAGAGAAUGAGUUGGGUGAUGGUGAUGGCAUUGAACAGAGUGGAAAGAAGCAUAAAAAGAAGAAAAAACAUUCCAAAGAGAAAGAAAUAAAACCAGAAAAUGAAAGUGCAAAUCAAGAUGGGAAUGAAAAUACUGUUGAUGAAGCAAAGCCCAAAGGUGAAGAUAAUGGUGCUUUUGAUGGAAAAGAUGUUCCAACAACAGAGUUAUAAUACCCUAAAUCUUUUGAAUGACCUUGGAAUUUACAAUACAGUAAAACAUGUGAAGUGGAACACCUCCAUAAGUGGA